UCAGCGAGACCCUUAGACCUUCAUCCUGACUAUAAGGACCUUAAACCCCAAGAUUUUCUCAAGCCCCUGGGGCACCCUUCCAGCCACUUGAACAAUGUAAGCUAGGGAGGGAGAAUCCUCUCUGGGUUGGACUCUGAACUAUCCUUCCAGGCACAAAUCCACUGAUUCCAGGAAGCACGAGAGGACAGAGGAAGUAGGAAGGAAAUAACCAGAGAAUCGCUGGCUGGAUCCCAACCUUCCACUGCCCCCUGGUCACUGGUCCUCAGACUAUGAACUCAGAACCAAGAGCAGUUUCCUAUAUCUGGGUCAUCAUAUUUGGAGCCAGGAAAAUGCUGCUAAGAAAUGAGUUUGGGAUGAGACCAAACGAUGCAAAAUUUAUCCUGGAGACCCUGUUAAAAUCAGCAGCAGAAUUACGUGAAAGGAGCAGUCCUGUUAUGGGGUAACAUGGAACUGGGAAGAUCUACCAGAACAUCAAUUAAAGGGCAUGAUGUAAGGUCAAGUUUGCUCAAAUAAGCAAGACUACAGUUGCUGGAGAGAACCUGGAAAAUGUGUAGCAACAUGAAACAGAUAGGAGUCAUCAAACUACGAACCUAAAGCCAAAAUUUAUCAAGCCAAAGCCAUUUAUAACCAUUCAGUUGUGUGUUGGGGGGAAUGUCCUAUCUCAGGCUUGGCAGAUGUUUGAUUUGCUACAGACCAAAAGAAAAAAAAUGUCUUCUUCAAGUUUCUUUUUUCAUAUGAGUAAAAGGAGGAAUCCAAAUUUGGAUGCUAAUUCUAAGAAACAGAGACUCAGAUGAUGCCCUGCAGAGCAUGUCUAGUUGGCCAGAAAGGAUUGACUAGAAAAUCUUGCUCUAAAUCUCUGUUCUUUUAUGGUAAAAAUGUCCAGAUUUCACACUGAGAUGCUUUAAUGAUGUUUGAUUGAGGUUCAGGGACAGGGGAAGAAGGAAAGGGCACAUAAAGCCCUCUUGAAAUAGUUAUUUGAGGACAAGAAGAGUAUAGCACGAUAGUAAGAAAUCAACAUAAGGAAAAGUGGUGGAAGUUUCCAGCUCAGCAUGUGGAUUUUGCUAGUUACUUCUCCAGACCAAGAAGCAAUGGCACAGUUGUUGCGUUUUGGAAAAU